GGACGGGUAGCAUAACUGGUAAAUGCGCUGCACUCUCAACGACUUGAACUAGCAUGAGAUGCGUGGUUCGAGUCCCGCUCUGUCCC